UACCUGUCCCUUUAAGUGAAGAUCUAAGGGAGCUGCACAUUGACCUCCAUGGGGAAAGAAUGUUGACCAUUGGAAACAGUGGUGCUGGUCAAGUGCAAAGUGAUGGUGACAAAAGUGAGAAAAUGCAUAAGGAAAAUGUGAUGUCAUAUGAAAUAUGUGAUAAUGUCAUGCCUUU